UACAGAGGGUGCGAGCGUUGUUCGGAAUUAUUGGGCGUCAAGGGCGCGUAGGCGGCUUGGCAAGUGGAAGGUGAAAUCCCUCGGCUUAACCGAGGAACUGCCCUCCAAACUGCUUGGCUUGAGACCGGGAGAGGUGAGUGGAAUUCCCAGUGUAGCGGUGAAAUGCGUAGAUAUUGGGAGGAACACCAGUGGCGAAGGCGGCUCACUGGACCGGUACUGACGCUGAUGCGCGAAAGCGUGGGGAGCAAACGGG
rnacentral:rRNA from 1 species